UACGUAGGUGGCAAGCGUUGUCCGGAUUUACUGGGCGUAAAGGGCGUGCAGGCGGUUUGUUAAGUGCAGAGUGAAAGCUCCCGGCUCAACUGGGAGAGGUCUUUGCAUACUGGCAAACUCGAGGGAGGCAGAGGAAAGUGGAAUUCCCGGUGUAGUGGUGAUAUGCGUAGAUAUCGGGAGGAACACCUGUGGCGAAGGCGACUACCUGGCCUGUUCUUGACGCUGAGGCGCGAAAGCUAGGGGAGCAAACGGG
rnacentral:rRNA from 1 species